rnacentral:rRNA from 1 species
CAGCCGUAAACAAUGUGCGUUAGGUGUGUCGGUAACCACGCGUUACUGAUGCGCCGAAGAGAAAUCGUGAAACGCACCACCUGGGAAGUACGGUCGCAAGGCUGAAACUUAAAGGAAUUGGCGGGGGAGCACCACAACAGGUGGAGCCUGCGGUUUAAUUGGACUCAACGCCGGGAAGCUCACCGGAUAGGACAGCAGAAUGAUUGCCGGGCUGAAGACUCUGCAUGACUAGCUGAGAGGAGGUGCAUGGCGUCAGUGACU